rnacentral:rRNA from 1 species
AAUUAACGCUGGCGGCAUGCCUAACACAUGCAAGUCGUACGAGAAACCCCCUUUCGGGGGGGGAGUAAAGUGGCGCACGGGUGAGUAACGCAUGGGUAAUCUACCUCGGUCCGGGGGAUAACGCACCGAAAGGUGCGCUAAUACCGCAUAACCCGGCGGAUCUUCGGGUCUGUCGGCAAAGGUGGCCUCUCCUUGGAAGCUGCCGGAUCGGGAUGAGCCCGCGUCCCAUUAGCUAGUUGGUAGGGUAAAGGCCUACAAAGGCGACGAUGGGUAGCUGGUCUGAGAGGACGAUCAGCCACACUGGAACUGGAACACGGUCCAGACUCCUACGGGAGGCAGCAGUGAGGAAUAUUGCGCAAUGGGGGAAACCCUGACGCAGCGAUGCCGCGUGGGUGAAGAAGGCCUUCGGGUCGUAAAGCCCUGUCAGGCGGGAAGAAUAGCUUGGGGACGAAUAAUCCUCAGGUGUGACGGUACCGCCGAAGGAAGCACCGGCUAACUCCGUGCCAGCAGCCGCCGUAA